GACACUUCAACUUACAUCCCGAUAAACUUCUUUUAAAAAUGGGUAGUGAGCCCGUAGAAGUAUAAGCAGCAUAAGCAGUAGAUAAUAGUGUAACACGUGACCAGUGUGUUAACACUUCAACCAACACCAUAAAGCAUAAAAAGGUGUCCGCAAGUUGGUUGUAUCUAUCUACAUAGUUUGAUGUAAGAAUAGAAUGUUCACUUUUGUGUUAUUUAGCAUAGGAGGGUCUCACUCCUUAUUUAGCUAAAGAAUAGGCUUUCAAAACGAGCAAUGAGCAUUGCAGGGGGCCAAUGCGACAUCGAGGAAAGGCCGGUGCACCUCAAUUGCUUGAGGAAUUGAUCGGACGACCUCCAGGAAGUUGGAGUCGUGUUCAGGUGACCUCAAUGUCCCCCGGGUCACCACCAUGCUUCAUGGUGAUGCUAGAUCUCGAAUGUCUUCGUUUUGAGCGGAAGAAUGGAUGUCCAUGAGAAUUUCUCAAAAUUUGGACCAUUAUAUCUUUUCCAGGUUGACCAAUUAGUCAAACCAAAACCUAUAUGAGUCAGUGUCCCAAAUAUCAUGUUUGGCGACAACAUGAGAUUCGAUAUUCGAAUCAUAGUGACAUACAGUCCACUAGAUUGACUCAUGAAUUUCUCUAAGAUGCGCUUUAGUCCGCAUUCAUGAGAAGGUAUACACAAAAGAAUUCUUGUUCAUUCUCACAAUGUGUUUUCAAAUGAAAACCAUUAGCAUGAAUGUCUUUAAAACUUAACAUGGUUCCUUAGAAUGUUGUGGAUAGUUCCACUAUCUGCGAAGCACUCAAUGUCUCUAUGAGACAUAACUACAAAGAGUAGAUAGGCGAGUAAAUAGUUCUACUUGAACCAUUUAUAAGGAUUGAAAGAAGCUACGAAAAGCUGCAAUCCCGAGAGUGCAUAAAAAUUUCCGCGCAGAAUGACCUUUGCGUACGAAAACAGCCAUAACUUCUUCGUUAAAAUAGAUAUGGAUGAACCGUGAAAAGUUCUGAAAACUAGACUCGUAGAGCUUUCCAAUGAUAUAAAGCUCACUGCCUGGUUCGUCCGGAGCUGUUCAAAAAGCUCAAACGAAGUUGACUGUCCAGAAGGGACAGAUUGCUGUUUUUCGCAGAUUUGGCAUGUGCGAAGCUGUGAAGCUUGCAGGUGGCGUGUAGGCUUUUGCCUUAGCCAAAAGUGACGUGUGUAUGAUCAAAACCAAGUCCUUUCGAUCGUUCUAAGGUCGUAAACUUCAUGACUAGUUAGCAAAAGCUCCCUGACAUGAACAUAAACUAACUCAGAGGACCUAGAGGAUCCGAUCAUGAUGAUAAUUUUCCAGCUUUGAUAAGUCUUCAACGUCUU
rnacentral:lncRNA from 1 species